GGACUUGAAAAUYAGCCGGAGCUGAGAGGAUCACCGAAAGAGCUUACAACCAUCUGGAGAACCGUGGACAAAGGGCUGGACAACAGGCCGCACCGG